rnacentral:rRNA from 1 species
AUGAACGCUGGCGGCGUGCUUCACACAUGCCAGUCGAACGGAAAGGCUCCUGCUUGCAGGGGUACUCGAGUGGCGAACGGGUGAGUAACACGUGGGUGAUCUGCCCUGCACUUCGGGAUAAGCUUGGGAAACUGGGUCUAAUACCGGAUAGGACCGCAUUUUGGAUGGUGUGGUGGAAAGUUUUUUCGGUGUGGGAUGAGCUCGCGGCCUAUCAGCUUGUUGGUGGGGUAAUGGCCUACCAAGGCGUCGACGGGUAGCCGGCCUGAGAGGGUGUACGGCCACAUUGGGACUGAGAUACGGCCCAGACUCCUACGGGAGGCAGCAGUGGGGAAUAUUGCACAAUGGGCGCAAGCCUGAUGCAGCGACGCCGCGUGGGGGAUGACGGCCUUCGGGUUGUAAACUCCUUUCGCUAGGGACGAAGAGUAAUUGACGGUACCUGGAGAAGAAGCACCGGCUAACUACGUG